rnacentral:rRNA from 1 species
UACCCUAAAUCUAAAAAGCUUGGCGGUUCUUAAAAUAAUAAGAGGAACUUGCUGAUCAACUGAUGAACCUCGGAGGAUCUUACUUCUUUAACCGGUUUGUAUACCGCCGUCUUAGACAUACUAAAAAGUAUUUUUAUAAUAAUUAAAUCUAGUAAGUCAGGUCGAGGUGCAGCUUAUAAGGAAGGAACCAGUGAGUUACAUUAAUUUAAUUUGUGGGUUAAUAGAUUAUUUUUUUUUAAUAAAAAGGAUUUUAGAGUAAUUUUUAUUUAAUAAGGUAGAAUGAUUAAUAAAAUUAAGAGUGUACAAAUCGCCCGUCGCUCGCGGGAA